rnacentral:rRNA from 1 species
AGUGAACGCUGGCGGCAGGCCUAAUACAUGCAAGUCGAACGGCAGCACAGCAGAGCUUGCUCUGUGGGUGGUGAGUGGCGGACGGGUGAGGAAUACAUGGGAAUCUGCCCAGUCGUGGGGGAUAACGUAGGGAAACUUACGCUAAUACCGCAUGCGCCCUUCGGGGGAAAGCCGGGGACCUUCGGGCCUGGCGCGAUUGGAUGAGCCCAUGUCGGAUUAGCUAGUUGGCGGGGUAAUGGCCCACCAAGGCGACGAUCCGUAGCUGGUCUGAGAGGAUGAUCAGCCACACUGGAACUGAGACACGGUCCAGACUCCUACGGGAGGCAGCAGUAGGGAAUAUUGGACAAUGGGCGCAAGCCUGAUCCAGCCAUGCCGCGUGAGUGAAGAAGGCCCUCGGGUUGUAAAGCUCUUUUGUCCGGAAAGAAAAGCGCCGGGUUAAUACCCUAGUGUCCUGACGGUACCGGAAGAAUAAGCACCGGCUAACUUCGUG